rnacentral:rRNA from 1 species
AUUAAACGCUGGCGGCAUGCCUUACACAUGCAAGUCGAACGGCAGCACGGGGGCAACCCUGGUGGCGAGUGGCGAACGGGUGAGUAAAGCAUCGGAACGUGCCCUGGAGUGGGGGAUAACGUAGCGAAAGUUACGCUAAUACCGCAUAUUCUGUGAGCAGGAAAGCAGGGGAUCGCAAGACCUUGCGCUCUGGGAGCGGCCGAUGUCGGAUUAGCUAGUUGGUGUGGUAAAGGCCUACCAAGGCGACGAUCCGUAGCGGGUCUGAGAGGAUGAUCCGCCACACUGGGACUGAGACACGGCCCAGACUCCUACGGGAGGCAGCAGUGGGGAAUUUUGGGCAAUGGGCGAAAGCCUGAUCCAGCCAUGCCGCGUGAGUGAAGAAGGCC